rnacentral:rRNA from 1 species
GAAUCUUAGACAAUGGGGGAAACCCUGAUCUAGCCAUGCCGCGUGAUCGAUGCAGGCCUUAGUGUUGUAAAUAUCUUUCAGCUGUGAAUAUAAUGACUGUACCCGCAUAAGAAGCCCCGGCUUACUCCUUGCCAGCAGCCGCGGUAAUCCGGGGGGGGCUAGCGUUAUUCGGAGUUACUGGGCGUAAAGCGCACGUAGGCGGAACAGAAAGUUAGGGGUGAAAUCCCGGGGCUCAACCUCGGAACUGCCUCUAAAACUCCUGGUCUUGAGGUCGAGAGAGGUGAGUGGAAUUCCGAGUGUAGAGGUGAAAUUCGUAGAUAUUCGGAGGAACACCAGUGGCGAAGGCGGCUCACUGGCUCGAUACUGACGCUGAGGUGCGAAAGCGUGGGGAGCAAACA